rnacentral:rRNA from 1 species
AGCAUACAGAGUGGCAGACGGGUGAGUAACACGUGGGAAUCUUCCUAUCGGUACGGAAUAGCUCAGGGAAACUUGGGGUAAUACCGCAUACGCCCUUCGGGGGAAAGAUUUAUCGCCGAUAGAUGAGCCCGCGUCUGAUUAGCUAGUUGGUGAGGUAAUGGCUCACCAAGGCGACGAUCAGUAGCUGGUCUGAGAGGAUGACCAGCCACACUGGGACUGAGACACGGCCCAGACUCCUACGGGAGGCAGCAGUGGGGAAUAUUGGACAAUGGGCGCAAGCCUGAUCCAGCCAUGCCGCGUGAGUGACGAAGGUCUUCGGAUUGUAAAGCUCUUUUGGCGGGGACGAUAAUGACGGUACCCGCAGAAUAAGCCCCGGCUAACUUCGUGCCAGCAGCCGCGGUAAUACGAAGGGGGCUAGCGUUGUUCGGAAUUACUGGGCGUAAAGCGCACGUAGGCGGAUUUGUARGUCAGGGGUGAAAUCCCGGGGCUCAACCUCGGAACUGCCUUUGAUACUGCAAGUCUCGAGUCCGGAAGAGGUGAGUGGAAUUCCUAGUGUAGAGGUGAAAUUCGUAGAUAUUAGGAAGAACACCAGUGGCGAAGGCGGCUCACUGGUCCGGUACUGACGCUGAGGUGCGAAAGCGU